rnacentral:rRNA from 1 species
UACGAAGGGUGCAAGCGUUAAUCGGAAUUACUGGGCGUAAAGCGCGCGUAGGUGGUUUGUUAAGUUGGAAGUGAAAGCCCCGGGCUCAACCUGGGAACUGCUUUCAAAACUGGCAAGCUAGAGUAUGGCAGAGGGUGGUGGAAUUUCCUGUGUAGCGGUGAAAUGCGUAGAUAUAGGAAGGAACACCAGUGGCGAAGGCGACCACCUGGGCUAAUACUGACACUGAGGUGCGAAAGCGUGGGGAGCAAACAGGAUUAGAUACCCCCGUAGUCC